UACAGAGACUGCAAGCGUUAUUCGGAUUCACUGGGCGUAAAGGGUGCGCAGGCGGCCAGGUGUGUCAGGUGUGAAAGCCCGGAGCUUAACUCCGGAAUUGCGCCUGAAACUACUUGGCUAGAGCAUUGGAGAGGGUAGCGGAAUUCACGGUGUAGCAGUGAAAUGCGUAGAUAUCGUGAGGAACACCAGCGGCGAAGGCGGCAUCCUGGACUGGUCCUGACACUCAGGAGCGAAAGCGUGGGGAGCGAUCCGG
rnacentral:rRNA from 1 species